rnacentral:tRNA from 1 species
GGGGUUGUAGCUCAGUGGCAGAGUGCUUGCCUUGCACACAUGAGGCCCUGGGAUCGAUCCUCAGCACCA